rnacentral:rRNA from 1 species
AACUGCUUUUAUAGGGGAAAUAAAGUGAUCUACGUGUAGUUUAUUGUAUGUACCCUAUGAAUAAGGACCGGCUAAUUCCGUGCCAGCAGCCGCGGUAAUACGGAAGGUUCGGGCGUUAUCCGGAUUUAUUGGGUUUAAAGGGAGCGUAGGCCGUAGAUUAAGCGUGUUGUGAAAUGUAGAUGCUCAACAUCUGACUUGCAGCGCGAACUGGUUUACUUGAGUGUGCGCAACGUAGGCGGAAUUCGUCGUGUAGCGGUGAAAUGCUUAGAUAUGACGAAGAACUCCGAUUGCGAAGGCAGCUUACGGGAGCACAACUGACGCUGAAGCUCGAAGGUGCGGGUAUCAAACAGGAUUAGAUACCCUGGUAGUCC